rnacentral:lncRNA from 1 species
GUGCCUUGGGUAUGAACAUGUGACACAUUAAUAUACUAAUAAAAGAGUUAUAAUUAUGAAUGAUAAAAUCUGAAAGUGAGAGAGGAUGGUGAUGACAUUCCAUGUAUAGUAUACUAAAGGUGAAAAUCUAAUUGUUCAAUACACACUUAGUAAUUAAAAUGAUGAAAAUCUUUUUCAUACUUAUUAUUUGAUUACUAACAAAUUAUGCAAUGUGAUUGUUGAUAAUGGAAGUUGAACAAAUGUGACAAGCACCUUGCUCGUGGAGAAGCUGAAAUUAUCUAUUAUCGAACAUCUAAAACCUUACAAAAUACAAUGAUUAAUUGAUAAUGUACUACAAAUAAAUCAAAUGUUAAUUUAUUUUUUAAAUCGUAAAUAGAAGGAUGAAGUUUGGUGUAAUGUAGUUAGUACCUAUGUAUGCUGGUUAUAUGUUAGGAAAACCUUGGCAAUAUGAUCAAAGGAUAAUAUAUGAUCGGUUCAAGAACCAAUAUUCUUUGAUCAUAGAUAGGCAAAAAUAUCAACUUCGACCAUUGCCUCCAAAGAUAAUUUUUUAAGAUCAAAUAUAUAAAAAACAAUAAUAUGAGGAGUUUGAAUCUUCAUUAACCAAAACUUUAGGGAUAAAAUAAGAAAUAAAAAAAAAUUUAGUGAUAAAAAUAAGAGUAUUAGGAAACACAAGAAGAGAAAACAAAAAAGCUUAAGAAUAAAUAAAUAAAUAUUUCCACCAAAAUGAGUGAUGUAAAUAAAAUAUUAACCAUGAAACAACCCUUAUUUGUACUUUUGUACAAAGAUAUUUUAAUUAUUACUAAUAAAAUUGAUACAAGUUUACUUAGUGUUAUUAUUGAUCUUUUGAAAUAAAAAAUAAAAAUCUCUUACCCCAAGAAGUUUUUAAGGAUUAAACACUAAUUUAAGAAAUUGAGGAUCAAAUUGAUUUUGUAAGCAUACCAAAUAACCCAGCAUAUAAAUACAACCCCGAAGAGACCAAGGAUAUCCAAAAUUAAGUGUGUAAGAAAGUAUGAAUCCAUGUAUAGUUCCUGUUUUGUUGGGAACCAAAAAAGAUGAAUCUUAAAAAAAUACAUUGAUUGCAGACCCAUCAACAAAAUCACGAUAUAGACAUCCUACUCAUAGGCAAGAUAACAUAUUGGAUUAAUUACACGAAUCCUAUAUAUUUUCAAAUUUUGAUUUAAAAUCUAGAUACCAUCUACUAAGAAUGCGUGAGCGAGACAAAUGAAAAACUAAAUAUGAUGGACCAUAUUUUUUCAAAAUUACAUUAGAAAAUUUAUAUUGAUUUAUUUUGAUGAUAUACUUAAAAAAUAUAUUUUUUUUAUGCAAAUCUUAAAAAAUAUACUUUUUGCACUAAUAAAAUUACUUUUCUUGGAUAUGUUAUUAACAAUAAAAAAUACAUGUUAAUCAAGAAAACAUGAAAAUAAUUAAAAAGUGACCAAAACCCACUAGUGUUAGUGAUGUUAAAAGUUUUUAUGAUUAACUUUUAUAGAAGACACUUAACUUUUGAAUGACACUCAGAAACAUCUACUAUUGUCCAAAAAAAAAAGGAUCUCAAACUUGCUUGAAGUUCUAAUACAUCUAUAGAAAUAUUUCCCUAGAAAAAAUUCUAAUUUAAAAAAACAUUCCAUUUUGAAAAGAUAUUAUACAUACAAUGUACACUACACAGAAACCUCAAAGAGAAAUAUUAUCCCUAGAGUUCGAAUUUCGAAAACCAAACAUGAGAGUCAUACAAGUUGCUCCUAUGGGCAGGUUGAGCAAUGCACUCAUAUAGUGAUACUCGCAGAUCAUUUGGAUUGUUUACAACAGAGAGGUACCGAUCAGCUAUUGCCCCCUCCACGUUUUCUCAUCCAGGCUUGAAACAUGCAAUGGCAGUGUCAAACAAUAAACCUAAAAAUUAUGUCAAAACAAACACAAAUGCAACCAACGAUACAGCACAUUACGAUCGUCCACUCGCAUGCAUUAUCUGCAGCAAUGCCCACCCCCUCUUAUCCAUUUAGACAAUCAAUGUGAAGACACAAAAGUUUUCAAAUUAUUACACAACUAGACAAAAGUAUCCACUCCAAAUUGAAGCAUUUGUAACAGUGCUAAACAUAACAUUAAAGUCCUACAAAAGAAAUUACAAACAAUCUACGUUAAGCUACCACCAACCAACCAAUAUUAUACUAUCAUAACUCCAAAUUGAAGAAACAUUGGAAAGAGGUAGUUUGGGUCAUCCCGCAUCUACAACAAAAGCAUACAGAAACCAAAGAAAAAUAAUAUAUUAAAAUAUACCAAAUACAACAAAAUCAACAAAAUGACAAACAUUCAAAGACUAAUGUUCGACAAAAAGAAAGAAACAAUCAAAUUCAACUAAAUUUGUAUUUAUAUGAAAAAAAAUAUGAUCACACAUUAUUAGGCAACAAACAAAACCAUCCAACACUACUGAAACAUAAAAUAAAUGCAGAAAAGUUUCAAGCCCACAAAAAGGCUACACACAAAAGUACAAGGCAUAUAAGUGCAAAGGUACAUACAAUGACAUAUUUGUUCAGUCAUUCCAAUCUGUCGAACCAAACCUAAUGUAGAAAACCAUUGAAAUAAGAACGAAAUAUAAAAUGGUAGAGGUGGUCGAUUAGCAAAACCCUCAAACUGAACCUUACCUUAGACAAACUAUAAUCAACAUCUGCCAUUAGCAAAACGAUGUCAAACCAAACUUAAUAUAAAAAAACAUUGAAAUAAGAACAAAUACACAUGGUAAGGGUGGUUGAUUAGCAAAGCCCAAUCAAACUGAACCCUACGACAACCUAAAACCUGAACCACUAUUCCACAACUUCACCAACAAACAGUUCCAGUGCCAUUAUAUGAUGGCAGUCAAAACUAUAAACUAUAAUCAGCAUCAUGCUGCAGCAUUAUUCAACAGUCAGUCCCAACUAAUAACUCAAUGACUAGACAACCAUCGGUCAGUCCCAACAAAUUGAAUCAACCAUUCCAGUGCCAUUAGGAUGAUCAGUCAACCAAUCAACCAAACAAAGAACCAUCAAUCAAGUUAUUAGCAGCUUCAACCCAAUAUAACAAGCUUCACAUUUACAUGAUCCGCUACCAAUGCCAAUGCUCAUGUUGCCAACCAAGCAAGGAAAUGAAAAAAGAAUAAUAAUGAAACCAAGGCUUGUAGGCGAAGUGUUCUAUUUCUUUACAUAAUAAAACCUGCACCAUCUAUAUGAACCUUGCACAUCUAAUCCAUACCGCAAGAUACUGAUGGUUGUCAAGCAAUCACAAGAUCAACUUCAAAAGCCCAAACAUGAAAAACUUUUUUAGAGGCUGCAAAAAGAAUUAUAAUUGGCUUUCCUCCUAAACACAAACAAAUUUAACAAACUUUGCAUGAGCAUAACAAAACUCUUCAGUCAGCCACGACCAUUACAUUCUUCAAAUUCAAAAGCACUGUUAAUUAGCAUCCCAGCCAAUCCUACUAAUUGCAUGUUAUUAUAGGAAAGCCUAUUCGACCAAUUACAACAAAUUAUGUUCUGCAAUUGCAAAUGCCCAUAUUCUAGCUGAGUAUGGUUCCCUUCCAGAAGAGUAUCAGAACAUUAAAACCAUUUUUGACCAAUUACAUUCUUCAAUUGCAAAAGCUCAUAUUCUAGCUAAGAGUAAGGUUCCCUUGGAGAAGAGUAUCAUCACAUUAAAAACCUAAACAAUUAGAAUAACCAGAGCUUGCUCAUGACACUGACAAAAUACAAAUCCAAAAUCCAGAACCAUUUCAUGUAUGAAAUCGAUGAACCAACCAGCUGAACUCAUUGAAACUGACUAUCAAUGUCAGGACUCCCAAUAAUCUGACAUACUAUACAUCAUAUACUACUCUUGUGCAGAAUAAGAUGACAUACUAUACAUCAUAUACUACUCUUGUGCAGAAUAAGAACCGAUAGAAGAAAUACUAUAACUCAUCCUGAGCAGACUAAGAAUCAACUGAAGAAACUACAACUCAUCAUGAGCAGACCAAGAAUCAACUAAAGAAACUAAGAAACCCAAAUUCCGCUUUCCUUCUAUAAUUAAUGUUUCAAACACAAUGAUAACCAACAGCCCAGAUCUAAAUAUUAGCUAUCAUUAUUGGCAUAGUUUUCUGCCCGACCUUCUAGGUUCAUAGAAAAAUAGAAUUUUAUAACAAUAAUAAAACUACUAAAGGAUGCUUAAGUUCAUGACAAACCACAUCUCAAUCGAUGAUACCAGAGAACCCUAACAACAUGAAAGAAGAAAAAUCAACUAAGUAGUUUAGUAAUAUCAGGAAACACAAAACGGCUGAAACAACAAGGUGGUGCUUUUAUCCCAUGGCUCUUGCAUAAGAGCUCGUAAACAUAUUGUUGAUGCCCUUUUUUUUUCCAGAAGAUGCCCCUUGUUUUCGUUUUACCCAAAUAGUACCCCUAAUUGUUGUAAUUCUACCCUUAGCCCGUCCGUCGCCCUCACCCUAUGCUCACACUGGAAGUUCUCGUGGCUCUAUGUGUGAUGCCUCGCCCACACCCUUCCCCGCCAAUAUGAUUUAGACCUAUACCAAUGUGGGACUAAACAGAUAUAGGUCUAAUACUCAAUAUUAUUCUUAGACCUAAACUAGUGUAUGUCUGAUAGUUGAGAUACAAUUCUUUGGUUGGAAUGGACGGCAAGACAAUUCAAAAUUAUACUAUCGAAGGAGAAUAAAAUGACAUCACUAUACAACAUUGUGACAGUUUCUAUCAGUUAAGCGUGGAAUGGAUAACAAGUCAGAAAGAAAGGAUGAAAACAGAUCAAAAGUUGCANNNNN